rnacentral:rRNA from 1 species
GUGCCAGCCGCCGCGGUAAUACGUAGGGGGCAAGCGUUGUCCGGAAUUAUUGGGCGUAAAGCGCGCGCAGGCGGUCUCUUAAGUCUGAUGUGAAAGCCCACGGCUCAACCGUGGAGGGUCAUUGGAAACUGGGAGACUUGAGUGUAAGAGAGGAAAGUGGAAUUCCACGUGUAGCGGUGAAAUGCGUAGAUAUGUGGAGGAACACCAGUGGCGAAGGCGACUUUCUGGCUUACAACUGACGCUGAGGCGCGAAAGCGUGGGGAGCAAACAGGAUUAGAAACCCCAGUAGUCC